UCAAAUGAUAAUAGAGCAUUUGUGUCUUCUG
rnacentral:piRNA from 1 species